AGGAAAGGCAAGGUUGUGCUUGUGCCCAUUGAGUCCUGCUGAAGACAACCGACUCCUGUUGGUGCUCUGUGGAAAUCAGUCUGGUGGCAGCUCCAAUAGCAGGAGUCCUGUUCGUGAGCAGAACCAAUGCCAGGCUGCUAAACACAGCAAAGAAGACGUUGUCGCUGUCUCAAAGAGCUUCCAAGGUCAAGUGCCAUUGGACACAACCCCCAGUGCUAGGCUUCUCCAAAAUGAAACACUUCCAAGAACCAAAGAUGUCGAAAACUAAGGAAAUCUCUGCCAUAGAGCCCCAUGUGCAUUCUGCAUGGGAAGUUAUUUACUGAAGCAAAGACCAUGG